rnacentral:rRNA from 1 species
AUGGCAGACAAGGCCUCGGGUUCAAAGACAGUGGACUUGGAGGAUGUGGCAGAGAUGAUGGAGAGGCUGGGUCUCCUUGAAGACGAUCUGGAUGAUGUAGUUUUUGAGGAACAAGAAGCACCCCCGCCGGAGUCGAUCAGAUGGAUGGCGUUGGCUCGGGUUCACACGGAGAAGGGUUACAGCCAGUAUUGGUUCUUCAAGACAAUGAGGGCGGCAUGGGAUCUGGCCCAAGAGGUAAAGAUUAGACCACUGGAAGAUAAUCUAUACACCUUGCAAUUCUCGUGUUUAGGCGAUUGGGAGAGAGUCAUGCAAGAAGGGCCAUGGAAUUAUAAGGGUUUUGCGGUGAUCAUUACACCUUAUGACGGGUUCACAAAACCGUCUCUAAUCAAGCUUGAUACUCUUGAGAUCUGGGCCCAGAUUCAUGAUCUUCCUGAUGGAUUCUUCCCCAUGUUGAGGGCCUUGGCUGGGAAGAUUGGUGAAGUUGUUUUUGUGGAACCUAAGUCUCAUGAUUUUGAGGGAAAUUUCUAUAGGGUUCGGGUCAAGAUUGAUGUUCACAAGCCUCUAAAGAAGGCUACGUCAGUUGUUAAGGAGAACAAGAGACAAAUCUUUCUGGUGAAGUACGAACGGCUCCCGGACUGGUGUGCUGUAUGUGGUCACCUUGGUCAUCAAUUCAAGGAGCAUGGUGAUGGAGUUCACCCCCCGAAGGCCUUAGUUUUUAAAGAAUUGAGAGCAAGCUGGUUCCGGGGUGCAGGACGGGGUCCAGGAGAAGGACGCGUCCGAAGAGGCGGCGUUGGACGAGGAGCAUCAAGGGGAGGAGCAGGUUUCAACGUUGGACGGGGCAUGUCCCAGCAGCCCAGCCAACACUCAGGAAGGGAGGACGUGGAUGCUUGCAUGGUCGACGCUGAAUCGGCCAGGAAGAGAUCUUCAGAGACAGGCCAAGCAAAUGAGAAAAACGUGCCUAAGGGAGUGAUGGCCAACAAGCUCAUGCUUCCAGCACCUCCUACAGUUCCUCCAAGCCCGACUUCACGACAGGAUCAGAAGAGAGCCAAGGUAGCCCUUACUGACAAGGGAGUGCCCAAGAAAAACCCCAGUGACAAGACAAAUGAUGCGCCCAUCGCAGAGACCCAGAGUGGCCUCCGCGGGGCACAAUGA